rnacentral:rRNA from 1 species
UGAGGAAUUUUGGACAAUGGGGGCAACCCUGAUCCAGCGACGCCGCGUGGAGGAUGAAGGUCUUCGGAUUGUAAACUCCUUUUGCAGGGGACGAAUGAGUAUCGUAACCCGAUACAGUGACGGUACCCUGUGAAUAAGCCACGGCUAACUUCGUGCCAGCAGCCGCGGUAAGACGAAGGUGGCUAGCGUUACUCGGAAUUACUAGGCGUAAAGGGCAGGUAGGCGGUUCGGUAAGUCUAUUGUGAAAUCUUCCGGCUUAACUGGAAGGGGUCAAUAGAUACUGCCGGGCUUGAGUGUGUGAGAGGGUGCUGGAAUUCCCGGUGUAGCGGUGAAAUGCGUAGAGAUCGGGAGGAACACCUAUGGCGAAAGCAGGCACCUGGCACAUUACUGACGCUGAGCUGCGAAAGCUAGGGGAGCAAACAGG